rnacentral:rRNA from 1 species
AGCCUUUAGCCAAACAAGUAUUAAAGGUCCCGCCUGCCCAGUGACAUAUUAAACGGCCGCGGUAUUCUAACCGUGCAAAGGUAGCGUAAUCACUUGUCUUCUAAAUAAAGACCUGUAUGAACGGCUAAAUGAGGGCAAACCUGUCUCCUAUAACUAAUCAGUGAAACUGAUCUCCCAGUCCAAAAGCUGGGAUAAUACCAUAAGACGAGAAGACCCUGUGGAGCUUCAAACUGCCCACUAACCAGCACACCCGCCUGCCGUCAAUAGUACACAGUUUUAAGUUGGGGCGACUUCGGAAAAAACAAAACUUCCAAGCACAGAACCACAAAUUCUAACCUAGGCCCACAAACCAAAGUUUAUAAAACCGACCCAGUAACACUGAUCAACGAACCAAGUUACCCCAGGGAUAACAGCGCUAUCUUCUUCAAGAGUCCAUAUCGACAAGAAGGUUUACGACCUCGAUGUUGGAUCAGGACACCCAAAUGGUGCAGCCGCUAUUAAAGGUUCGUUUGUUCAACGAUUAACAG